rnacentral:tRNA from 2 species
AGGAGCGUAGCUCAGUUGGUAGAGCGAAGGUCUCCAAAACCUUAGGUCGGGGGUUCGAAUCCUCCCGCUCCUGCCA